CCCCUCUCAGGGUCACACCUGGAGAGUUUCCAGUAUUCUACCAGUCUUGACUACGGGAGGGAGAGUCAAGCAGAGGAAUACCCAUUCCAUUCCCAGCUUGGUCAGUGGCUAGCAAGUGGAAAGCAGUAUUCUACAAGU